rnacentral:rRNA from 1 species
UACGGGGGGGGCAAGCGUUGUUCGGAAUUACUGGGCGUAAAGGGCGCGUAGGCGGCUCGCUAAGUCGGAUGUGAAAACUCUGGGCUCACCCCAGAGCCUGCAUUCGAAACUGACGAGCUCGAGUUCUGGAGGGGAAAGCGGAAUUCCUGGUGUAGCGGUGAAAUGCGUAGAUAUCAGGAGGAACACCUGCGGUGUAGACAGCUUUCUGGACCACUGCUGACGCUGAGACACGAAAGCGUGGGUAGCAAACAGG